ACCUAGAAAGGGACUAUUUAUGCAAUCCAUUUUAGAUGCUUUGUUUUGUAAAACAUAAAUUGUGAUUACCUCAUAACACGCACGAGCUUCCUCAAGUUUUCGCUGCACAAGAUAGAGUUGUCCAAGGUUGUGUAAAGUAGCACCAACACUGCAUUGUAAAGCAGAACUAGCGAUGCGGGAUGAAUCGGAAGCCGGGUUACGGUGCCCAACUGCGCUAACCUAGAACCCACAAAGGGUGUUGGUUGAUUAAGACAACAGGACGGUGGUCAUGGAAGUCGAAAUCCGCUAAGGAGUGUGUAACAACUCACCUGCUGAAUCAACUAGCCCCGAAAAUGGAUGGCGCUGAAGCGCGUGACCUAUACCCGGCAGUCGGGGCAAGAGCCAGGCCUCGAUGAGUAGGAGGGCACGGCAGUCGCUGCAAAACUAGGGCGGGAGCCCGGGCGGAGCUGCCGUUGGUGCAUAUCUUGGUGGUAGUAGCAAAUAUUCAAAUGAGAACUUUGAAGGUUCCAUGUGAACGGCACUUGCACAUGGGUUAGUCGAUCCAAACUAGCUCCCGUAGAUGAGACGGUUUUAUGAGCAGCGGACCGCAUGAUACAAUCAAAAUGAGGCCGUUAUCGCUUCACUCGAUAGCGGAAUCUACGAACUUGAUAUAGACGAUAUACUCUUGAGACUUACUUUGAGAAGAAAGAGAGAGAGGGAGAGAGUUGUGUGGUUGUGUUUUUUGCGAAUAGCAAGUGAAGAAAAUGAGAGAGUGAGGUGUUCCUUUUAUAGGCGAGAGGAGAAGCAGCUUGGUCCGUAAGUCGCGCGAAUGUUAGCGGAGAUCGUGGAGAAUCGGAGUGAUGCGCAAGACUUAACCGAGUCGAGAUCGUGGGCGAGAUUUUAGGAAGCGUUAUCACUUCUGUUUCUCGAUUUCGAAUUCGGAAAAGGAAUAUUCGGAUAUGCUUUUAAUAUUCGAAUAUGCCUUUAAUUAUGCAAAGGUUUCGAUUUCGUUAUUGGGCUUUCGAAUUUCGUUAAUGGGCCAAGUCUUAUGUAACAAAAGCCUCAUAAGUAUUUUCCCCAAAAAGAAUAUUCUUUUGUU
rnacentral:ncRNA from 1 species